CGCGGAAUGGAGCAGUUGGCAGCUCGUCGGGCUCAUAACCCGAAGGUCACAGGUUCAAGUCCUGUUUCCGCAACCA
rnacentral:tRNA from 2 species